rnacentral:rRNA from 1 species
CCUACGGGAGGCUGCAGUGGGGAAUAUUGGACAAUGGGCGAAAGCCUGAUCCAGCCAUGCCGCGUGUGUGAAGAAGGCCUUCGGGUUGUAAAGCACUUUCAGUGGGGAAGAAAGCCUUGGGGCUAAUACCCUCGAGGAAGGACAUCACCCACAGAAGAAGCACCGACUAACUCCGUGCCAGCAGCCGCGGUAAUACGGAGGGUGCGAGCGUUAAUCGGAAUUACUGGGCGUAAAGCGCGCGUAGGCGGUCUGAUAAGCCGGUUGUGAAAGCCCCGGGCUCAACCUGGGAACGGCAUCCGGAACUGUCAGGCUAGAGUGCAGGAGAGGAAGGUAGAAUUCCCGGUGUAGCAGUGAAAUGCGUAGAGAUCGGGAGGAAUACCAGUGGCGAAGGCGGCCUUCUGGACUGACACUGACGCUGAGGUGCGAAAGCGUGGGUAGCAAACAGGAUUAGAUACCCCAGUAGUC